rnacentral:rRNA from 1 species
CCUACGGGUGGCAGCAGUGGGGAAUAUUGGACAAUGGGCGAAAGCCUGAUCCAGCCAUGCCGCGUGUGUGAAGAAGGCCUUCGGGUUGUAAAGCACUUUCAGUGGGGAAGAAAGCCUUGGGGCUAAUACCCUCGAGGAAGGACAUCACCCACAGAAGAAGCACCGGCUAACUCCGUGCCAGCAGCCGCGGUAAUACGGAGGGUGCGAGCGUUAAUCGAGAAUUACUGGGCGUAAAGCGCGCGUAGGCGGUCUGAUAAGCCGGUUGUGAAAGCCCCGGGCUCAACCUGGGAACGACAUCCGAAGAAGUCAGGCUAGAGUGCAGGAGAGGAAGGUAGAAUUACCGGUGUAGCGGUGAAAUGCAUGGAAAUCGGGAGGAAUACAAGUGGCGAAGGCGGCCUUCAGAACAGACACUGAAGCAGAGGUGCGAAAGAGUGGGUAGCAAACAGGAUUAGAUACCCCAGUAGUC